rnacentral:rRNA from 1 species
UACGGGGGGGGCAAGCGUUGUUCGGAAUUACUGGGCGUAAAGGGCGCGUAGGCGGCCUUCUAAGUCGAACGUGAAAUCCCUGGGCUCAACCCAGGAACUGCGUCCGAUACUGGAAGGCUUGAAUCCGGGAGAGGGAUGCGGAAUUCCAGGUGUAGCGGUGAAAUGCGUAGAUAUCUGGAGGAACACCGGUGGCGAAGGCGGCACCCUGGACCGGUAUUGACGCUGAGGCGCGAAAGCCAGGGGAGCAAACGGG